AUUAGGUUGGUGCAAAAGUAAUUGCAGUUUUUGCAUUAUUUUUCCUGGCAAAAACCACAAUUACUUUUGCAUCAACCUAAUA
rnacentral:miRNA from 10 species